rnacentral:rRNA from 1 species
UAGCGGCGGACGGGUGAGUAAUGCUUAGGAAUCUGCCUAUUAGUGGGGGACAACAUUCCGAAAGGAAUGCUAAUACCGCAUACGUCCUACGGGAGAAAGCAGGGGACCUUCGGGCCUUGCGCUAAUAGAUGAGCCUAAGUCGGAUUAGCUAGUUGGUGGGGUAAAGGCCUACCAAGGCGACGAUCUGUAGCGGGUCUGAGAGGAUGAUCCGCCACACUGGRACUGAGACACGGCCCAGACUCCUACGGGAGGCAGCAGUGGGGAAUAUUGGACAAUGGGGGGAACCCUGAUCCAGCCAUGCCGCGUGUGUGAAGAAGGCCUUUUGGUUGUAAAGCACUUUAAGCGAGGAGGAGGCUACUAGUAUUAAUACUACUGGAUAGUGGACGUUACUCGCAGAAUAAGCACCGGCUAACUCUGUGCCAGCAGCCGCGGUAAUACAGAGGGUGCGAGCGUUAAUCGGAUUUACUGGGCGUAAAGCGUGCGUAGGCGGCUGAUUAAGUCGGAUGUGAAAUCCCUGAGCUUAACUUAGGAAUUGCAUUCGAUACUGGUCAGCUAGAGUAUGGGAGAGGAUGGUAGAAUUCCAGGUGUAGCGGUGAAAUGCGUAGAGAUCUGGAGGAAUACCGAUGGCGAAGGCAGCCAUCUGGCCUAAUACUGACGCUGAGGUACGAAAGCAUGGGGAGCAAACAGGAUUAGAUACCCUGGUAGUCCAUGCCGUAAACGAUGUCUACUAGCCGUUGGGGCCUUUGAGGCUUUAGUGGCGCAGCUAACGCGAUAAGUAGACCGCCUGGGGAGUACGGUCGCAAGACUAAAACUCAAAUGAAUUGACGGGGGCCCGCACAAGCGGUGGAGCAUGUGGUUUAAUUCGAUGCAACGCGAAGAACCUUACCUGGUCUUGACAUAGUAAGAACUUUCCAGAGAUGGAUUGGUGCCUUCGGGAACUUACAUACAGGUGCUGCAUGGCUGUCGUCAGCUCGUGUCGUGAGAUGUUGGGUUAAGUCCCGCAACGAGCGCAACCCUUUUCCUUAUUUGCCAGCGGGUUAAGCCGGGAACUUUAAGGAUACUGCCAGUGACAAACUGGAGGAAGGCGGGGACGACGUCAAGUCAUCAUGGCCCUUACGACCAGGGCUACACACGUGCUACAAUGGUCGGUACAAAGGGUUGCUACCUAGCGAUAGGAUGCUAAUCUCAAAAAGCCGAUCGUAGUCCGGAUUGGAGUCUGCAACUCGACUCCAUGAAGUCGGAAUCGCUAGUAAUCGCGGAUCAGAAUGCCGCGGUGAAUACGUUCCCGGGCCUUGUACACACCGCCCGUCACACCAUGGGAGUUUGUUGCACCAGAAGUAGGUAGUCUAACCGCAAGGAGGACGC